GAUGAACGCUGGCGGCGUGCCUAAUACAUGCAAGUCGAGCGAACGGACGAGAAGCUUGCUUCUCUGAUGUUAGCGGCGGACGGGUGAGUAACACGUGGAUAACCUACCUAUAAGACUGGGAUAACUUCGGGAAACCGGAGCUAAUACCGGAUAAUAUUUUGAACCGCAUGGUUCAAAAGUGAAAGACGGUCUUGCUGUCACUUAUAGAUGGAUCCGCGCUGCAUUAGCUAGUUGGUAAGGUAACGGCUUACCAAGGCAACGAUGCAUAGCCGACCUGAGAGAGUGGUCGGCCACACUGGAACUGAGACACGGUCCAGACUCCUACGGGAGGCAGCAGUAGGGAAUCUUCCGCAAUGGGCGAAAGCCUGACGGAGCAACGCCGCGUGAGUGAUGAAGGUCUUCGGAUCGUAAAACUCUGUUAUUAGGGAAGAACAUAUGUGUAAGUAACUGUGCACAUCUUGACGGUACCUAAUCAGAAAGCCACGGCUAACUACGUG
rnacentral:rRNA from 1 species